UAUAUACUCCCACCGUCCGGAAAUACUUGUCAUCAAAAUGGAUAAAAGGGGAUGUAUCUAGAUGUAUUUUAGUUCUAAAUACAUCUCCUUUUAUCCAUUUUGAUGACAAGUAUUUUCGGACGGAGGGAGUAUAUA
rnacentral:pre_miRNA from 1 species